rnacentral:rRNA from 1 species
GCUCCAAUAGCGUAUAUUAAUGUUGUUGCAGUUAAAAAGCUCGUAGUUGGAUUUCUGUUUGAAUUAUUCGUUCUAGUUCGUAAGAAUUAUGAAUAGUAUAAUUUAGGCAUCCUGUAAAAGAACAUUAGUGUCAUUUAUUUGAUGUUAAUGGUAUUUUACUCGUUUACUGUGAAAAAAUUAGAGUGUUUAAAGCAGGCAUU